UAGUCCAGGAAAAAAGCAUUAAUGCAAGACCGUACCCGAAACCGACACAGGUGGACGAGUCGAGUAGACUCAGGCGUUGAGUGAACCAUAUUGAAGGAACUCGGCAAAAUAAUCCCGUAACUUAGGAAGAAGGGAUACCGAAAGGUGACACAAAAAUGGGGGUGACGACUUUUUACUAAAAAAUUAGGACUCUGCAAAAUGGUAACAUGCUGUAUAGGGUCUGACGUCUGCCCGGUGCUAGAAGUCUAAAAGGCGCAUUGCAAGAUGCAAAUGGAAAGCCUAGUAA
rnacentral:rRNA from 1 species